rnacentral:misc_RNA from 1 species
UUGCUGUAGGUGAACCUGCUGCAGGAUCAUUACCUAACAGACACACAACCUAUUCGUCGACGACGCGAUCGGGGUUUAGCGGGCGCUGCUUGUUGCCCGCGGCUAACCCACCGAAAGCGUCACCCAGAGCCAUAAGGUCGCGCGGCCUGUUGUCCCGCCCGCGAUCCGCUUGCUUAUGGCACUCAAACAACGGCUUUCGAUGGCUUCUAUGCAAUGCUGAGCAAUUGUGCGCCUCUGUCCGUGGUUGCGAUGAGGCAUUGCGAAACACCCGAGCGAUUGCUCUUGAGGUGAGAAUUAAUGAGCUCCGGCCUGGGAGCCGCCACCACCAACAUUCUAUUCAACACACUUAUUGAACAGUGAAGUCCUGUCUGGUCGCGUUAGCGCCAGAGGACCAUAAGAGUAUUCAGCCUUAUCGGUGGAUCACUCGGUUCGU